GCUUUUUGGCGGGGUGCUAUACAUGCAGUCGAGCGAACUGAUUAGAAGCUUGCUUCUAUGACGUUAGCGGCGGACGGGUGAGUAACACGUGGGCAACCUGCCUGUAAGACUGGGAUAACUUCGGGAAACCGAAGCUAAUACCGGAUAACAUCAUUCCUUGCAUAAGGAAUGAUUGAAAGAUGGUUUCGGCUAUCACUUACAGAUGGGCCCGCGGUGCAUUAGCUAGUUGGUGAGGUAACGGCUCACCAAGGCAACGAUGCAUAGCCGACCUGAGAGGGUGAUCGGCCACACUGGGACUGAGACACGGCCCAGACUCCUACGGGAGGCAGCAGUAGGGAAUCUUCCGCAAUGGACGAAAGUCUGACGGAGCAACGCCGCGUGAGUGAUGAAGGCUUUCGGGUCGUAAAACUCUGUUGUUAGGGAAGAACAAGUAUGAGAGUAACUGCUCGUACCUUGACGGUACCUAACCAGAAAGCCACGGCUAACUACGUGCCAGCAGCCGCGGUAAUACGUAGGUGGCAAGCGUUAUCCGGAAUUAUUGGGCGUAAAGCGCGCGCAGGCGGUUUCUUAAGUCUGAUGUGAAAGCCCACGGCUCAACCGUGGAGGGUCAUUGGAAACUGGGGAACUUGAGUGCAGAAGAGAAAAGCGGAAUUCCACGUGUAGCGGUGAAAUGCGUAGAGAUGUGGGAGGAACACCAGUGGCGAAAGCGGCUUUUUGGUCUGUAACUGACGCUGAGGCGCGAAAGCGUGGGGAGCAAACAGGAUUAGAUACCCUGGUAGUCCACGCCGUAAACGAUGAGUGCUAGUGUUAGGAGGGUUCCGCCCUUAGUGCUGCAGCUAACGCAUAGCACUCCGCCUGGGGGAGUACGGUCGCAGGACUGAACUCAAAGAUUGACGGGGCCCGCCACAAGCGGUGGGAGCCAUGUAUUAUUCGAAGCAACGCGAGAACUUACAGUCUGGACAGUCUCUGAACACUCUGAGAAUAGAGCGUCCAUCCGGGGACAGAUUGACACGUGUGCAUGAUUGUCCUCACCUCCGGUCCUGAAUGUUAGUAGUCGCCACGAGCCAACCUGACUAAUUGCAGCAUUAUUGGGCAG
rnacentral:rRNA from 1 species